UCGUGUUAUUUCGCCAGCAUUAUUACUUAUUAUUUAUAAUUGUCAUUAUCGGCUGAUAAUCACUAAAUAAACAUCUUGUUAUUUUUAACUCAAGCGCAUGCAAUGAUUUUUUAAAUGAGCUUUGAGGACUUAUCUCUCAUAUUUGGAUCUAGCCGUGUUGAAAAAAAAAACGACAUUCGACAUUCCUUUUUGAGGUUUAAAAGAAAUUGGCAGUGGAUUGUUUUUAGUUGCAAACCUUUUGAGGUGAACUGACGAUUUCAAAUAGUUUAGUUUUUAUCCAAGAUGUUUUGUUCAGCUGAUAAUUCGUUGAAGUGAUUGAACGGUUAAAGUGCAAGUUGGCGAUGUUUGAGUUUUAAUUUAUUUGCGCUUACCUAUCCGCCCACCUUUUUCAUUCGUAUUAAACUUGUGUUAUUUUGUUGGUGUAUACCGUUUUUGAUGGUGGCGUAAGUUGGCGAGUUAAAUUUUGUAACGUUACACCUUUCUAUUUUUUUAUUACACAGUAGCAGGCCUUUUGGAACGUCGUGUACUACGCAACAGUUUAGAAUUACCGUCAUGUCUUUCAAACACGAUCUGACAACAUGGCUUUCCCUCAAUGAAAAACGUGUUACGACCGGAAUCACAAGGUCGACAAAGCAUUGUGUGGCUACGAAAACAAAAACCUUAUUGCCGAAUAACCUUAUUACUUGACCAUCUAUUAUGAUAGCUCAGAUAUGAUUUAACCUAUCAAUUGUGCUCCUUUGCUGAAAACGGGCUCUUUGCCAUUUAGACUAUCUCUUUUUUUCAUGGAUUAUAUCAACAGUAAGAAAUAGAUGGGCCACCAAAGAAUAAUUGCCUCAUUAAUACGUAUAAAAAUUGAGGAUGCAAUUAGCUGAAGUGCAGAAAAUGUUGAGAUUUCAAAAAGGCAAUUAGAAAAAUUUUUCAAUGGUUUCGAAAAACUCAGUUGAGAUCCAAUCCAUUUUUUAUGAAACAUCAUUUUCCUUAAAAUAAGAAAAAUGAAAUUAUACGUGAUAUUAUCUUAUGAAUUUUGCGGAAAAAAGCUAUUCAUAAAAUAUCCGACAGUCAGUACCAGAAGCAUUAAAGAUUGACAAAUUCAUGAUAGCUAUUCGAUGAUGAAAGUUUAUAGACGCCGGGAAUGUUAUUUUUCAUCGAUAAAAGUCAAAUUAGUUUCACUUAUACUCCUUUGAUUAUAACAGUCAAAGUACACAGACCAGUGACGCCGAAACUAAUAGGCCAGAGGGGCAGUAGUCCCCUGCACUUCAAAUACAAUGGGCAAAAGUAUUAUUUCGCCACCUCCUCCUCAUUGAAUUUGACCAAAAAAUUUGAGAAUAAACAAAAAUUAUUAUUUUUAAAAAUCUGGGACAACUUAAAACAAUUUUCUUUAAUAACAUUGGAUGAUAGCCAUUUUAUAUUUUAUAUAUAACUUACAUAUGGAAUUUUGACGUUGAAUUCCGAGUCUGGUUUCCGAUUUUAGCUUCGACGCAAAUCUGAAAAGGUAUUAAUUUUACUUUGAUGAAAUUUGUAUUUUUUUUUUGACUGUAACCACUUUUUUUCAGCUCUCACUGAACCGAUUUUUU